AUUCGUAGGAAACUGCAGUCGAGGCUGUGAGGAAAAAAUGUGGCACAAGACCUCGCGAGUCGAUGCGGCGCGGCGUGUCGCGUUGCACUCGCGGUAUCGGAUACCUCGCGCACGACGACGAGGACGACGAGGACGACGGAGCUCCACGAUCACCGGUCGCCGGUCUCGCGACGAAUGAAUCCGCGAACGUCCCGAUAACGAUGAUUAAUGGACGAUAAGGCGGCAACAAGCUGCCAACAGCUUGUGCAACAGCGAGCCGUCACCUGAUCGCGGAGUAAAGCGAGGCAGUGAUUUGUCGGCGAGAAAACGCUCAACCACACUCGGAAAAAUAAUAUCCAGAUUUAUCUCCGAACAAAAAAAUGAGGAACGUAUGCUCGCGCGAAAUCACUUUGUGCCGAGGUACACUUUAAUCUAGAUACAUACGUUCUAAUCUAGAGAGACACACAGUGUCGUUCCCGUUAUUCUCAUUAUCCCGGCGAUCUGAAGACAGUCGAGAUACAGUUCGAGAAUAAUUAUUAGUAAUUGAUAUUUGCGACAGACUUGUUAUUCGACAAUCGAGUAAAUCGUUGCAAAUAUUAUCUUGUAAAAAGAAGGAAAUUAUAGACGUAUUAGGAAUAAUCGUGAUGCGCGCACUCGAGCAAUUAAUAAACUUGCUAAUACGUAACUUCCGCAAUCGAGCGAGGUCUACCUUCGCACGAAUAUCGCUCGUACAUUUUCCUCGCCGCGCGGUAAUACAAGAACUGAAACAAAACGUCGGGGAAUACGUGACUUUAAGGUGUGCAAAAAGUGCUCGCUAUCUCUUCGUCGUUUCAACAAUACUACCGAGCGCGUCGCGGCGACCGAUGUGUGCGUAGGUAUACACACAGGUAAACAUAUCGGCGCGUCAGCAACGUACGCACGCACGUAUGUACAAUACACGCGCUACGUACGUGGUCUGCACGCCACACCGACGACGCCGACUAUUCCGGGGUCUUCAUAAUUUCGUGCUCUUAUCUGUUUGCACCGAGCGGCGGAUCCUUGCUUAGCGGUUGUGUAAUUAAAAACGCGCUACUCGAGCCGCCUGCAGUUAGCUACGCCUCGAAAAUGCCCUCAGUCGAGAAAAAGCACGCAGGUCGAAAGACUCGUAUCUUCGCCAUCUGUUUUCUUCGACAUCUCGUUAAAGCGAAAUUAACUCGAUACACGAGCUAGAAGCGGCUAUUGUUUUCACACGCGCCGUACAUCCAUGUAUGUGCUUUCGCGUAAUCAUUUUAAUUCCACGCUGUUAAUUACGAUCACCUACCUACGGUGAGCUAUCGUAAUUGAUAUCGCGCGUGAAACCUUCCAUUACGUUUCGAUUGAUUUUAACUUAGGUCUCUCUUAUUUGAUAACUUAUUGAUGAUCCUUUACUAUAUUCCAGCUUUUUGCAAUUUGUUCUACAUUUCGUUAAAAAUUUAUUGAUAUUUAAAAAUUAAUUUAAUUCAUUGUGUUAACGUUGGAACAAUAUUGAUUCGCACGAUGUUAAAUGCUUGAUCGCAAUUACAUCGUGCAAUACGUCACUAAUCGCUCCGAAAGAUAAUACGCUUAUCACUGAACAGUACAUCAGACUGGCGUCAGGUGGACAAUUGUUAUCGCAUAAAAGUUGGAGUUUCGCAUAUUUCGAAUUCCGAACACGUGGCAAAGUUGAAGAAGAUCCGUGAUCGAUUUUAUCUUCAACGUCGGUCUUACCUGCUGCGCUCGCCUCUGCAACUCCUGCGUGAUGGCGGUGCUCAGAUCGGUGCUGGCGAUCGGCGACGUCCUGGCGACAUCCUUGCGCGGCGUCGCGUACGUGGCCGUCGAGGUGUCCGUCGUUUUGCUAGCGACGCUUCCGGACCCGGCACCGGUCGCCACCGAACCGUAAGAGACGGUGGACGCCGGCUCGCAGGACGACGUCGACAGGGACGAUGAUGUCGACGCAGAAUCCUUGCUGCAAGACGACUCGAGGCUCGACUCGGUCUCCGUCGAGCCGGUACUGCCCAUCGACAUGGUGCUGCCCAUUUGCAUGCCCAUGGCGUUCAUUGGUUUGGUCUCUGUAACGGAACCGACUGCGUAAAGAGGAUUUCUUUCGACUUGGCGCUCGAGAGAACGCGGUCAUGUUAUUAUUCUAACGAUGCUGCGGGAAAAGCCGUCAAACCUGCUGGCCAUUUGUAAGGAAGUGGCGGCGGAGGUGCAGGUGGACAAACCGACUGAUGCACCUCUACAG